rnacentral:rRNA from 1 species
AACGAACGCUGGCGGCAUGCCUAACACAUGCAAGUCGAACGAAACCUUCGGGUCUAGUGGCGCACGGGUGCGUGACGCGUGGGAACCUACACUUAGGUUCGGUAUAACUCCCCGAAAGGGGUCCUAAGACCGGAUAAUGUCUUCGGACCAAAGAUUUAUCGCCUUUGGGUGGGCGCUCGUUGGAUUAGCUAGUUGGUAGGGUAAAAGCCUACCAAGGCGACGAUCCUUAGCUGGUCUGAGAGGAGGAUCAGCCACACUGGGACUGAGACACGGCCCAGACUCGUACGGAAGGCAGCAGUGGAGAAUAUUGGACGAGGGGCGAAAGCCUGAUCCAGCAAUGCCGCGUGAGAGAGGAAGGCCUUAGGAUUGUAAAGCUCUUUUAGCCGGGAUGAUAAUGACAGUACCGGGAGAAUAAGCACCGGCUAACUCCGUG